CUGUUUUAUGCAGUGUCCACACAGAUUGCUUGGUCGAAAUGUAAAAGAGCCAACAUAAGUUGCCCAACAACUUAUGUUAUGAACAUUGUCCCGUUCGUCUAGAGGCCUAGGACACCGCCCUUUCACGGCGGUAACAGGGGUUCGACUCCCCUACGGGACGCCAAUGGGUCGUUAGCUCAGUUGGUAGAGCAGUUGACUUUUAAUCAAUUGGUCGCAGGUUCGAAUCCUGCACGACCCACCAUUCUUUCUCACGAAGGAAUUAAAAUUAUCGUGGGCGAUUAGCUCAGUUGGGAGAGCACCCCCCUUACAAGGAGGGGGUCACUGGUUCGAGCCCGGUAUCGCCCACCACUCUCUAAGUAUUUUCUGCACGAAUACGCAGAUUUAAUAAAGAAUUUCUUUAUUAAGUCCGCAUUGUUGUCGCUGAAAAUCAUUAGAAAGUGGUUUUCAAUAGAAAAUUGCAUGCUCUUUAACAAUCUGGAAAGCUGACUAGUAAAUUCAAUCGAAAGAUUGAUUUUAAAAAAUGUUUUUAUCUUCGGAUAAAAACGAGUUCUCAAAACAACACACAUUCAAGUGUCUUGUAUCGAGUCCGGCGAAAAACCAAUGUUUAAUAUUUUCUUGAUCGGGUUAUUAAACGCAAACCUUGGUUGUUUGAACAUACAAGACCUCUUGGGGUUGUAU
rnacentral:tRNA from 1 species